rnacentral:rRNA from 1 species
GGGAGAUGUUGAGGUAGGUAAUCUGCCGUGUGACUAAUACCGCAUAGUAGAGUAGAGGAAAGUUUUUUCGCUUCACGAUGAGCCUGCGGCCUAUUAGCCUGUUGGUGGGUAAUGGCCUACCAAAGCUACGAUAGGUAGCCGACCUGAGAGGGUGACCGGCCACAUUGGGACUGAGAUACGGCCCAGACUCCUACGGGAGGCAGCAGCUGAGAAUCUUCCACAAUGGACGAAAGUCUGAUGGAGCGACAUCGCGUGAGGGAUGAAGGCCUUCGGGUUGUAAACCUCGGAAAUUAUCGAAGAAUGAGUGACAGUAGAUAAUGUAAGCCUCGGCUAACUACGUGCCAGCAGCCGCGGUAAUACGUAGGAGGCAAACGUUGCUCGGAUAU